AUAACACAAACACAGUAUUAUCCGCCAGAGAACUAUAAGCGAAAAGCCAAAAACUCCAAGGACUUGGCGGUGCUUCAAACCAACCUAGAGGAGCCUGUCCUAUAAUCGAUACCCCACGUUCUACCCGACCUCUCUUUGACACAUCAGCCUAUAUACCGCCGUCAUCAGCCUACCUUGUGAAAGAAAAGAAGUAAGCAAGACAGUUAAUAACUAAAACGACAGGUCAAGGUGUAGCAUAUGGAGAGGAAGUGAUGGGCUACAUUCUUCAAAAGCAUACGAAUAACAUGUUGAAACACAUGCUUGAAGGUGGAUUUAGUAGUAAGAUAAACAAGAUAAGAUGUCUUAAAACCUGCUCUGAAGCGCGCACACACCGCCCGUCACCC
rnacentral:rRNA from 1 species